rnacentral:rRNA from 1 species
GACGAACGCUGGCGGCGUGCCUAACACAUGCAAGUCGAACGGAGAAUCAGCAAUGGUUCUUAGUGGCGGACGGGUGAGUAACGCGUAGACAACCUGCCUUCUAGAUGGGGACAACACUGCGAAAGUGGUGCUAAUACCGAAUGUUGUAAUAAGCCUGCAUGGGUUUAAUACUAAAGGUGGCCUCUGACAUAAGCUAUCACUAGAAGAUGGGUCUGCGUCUGAUUAGCUAGUUGGUGAGGUAAUGGCUCACCAAGGCGAUGAUCAGUAGCCGGUCUGAGAGGAUGAACGGCCACACUGGGACUGAGACACGGCCCAGACUCCUACGGGAGGCAGCAGUGGGGAAUCUUCCGCAAUGGACGAAAGUCUGACGGAGCAACGCCGCGUGAGUGAAGAAGGUUUUCGGAUCGUAAAGCUCUGUCUUUGAGGACGAAUGUGUCUAAUGUGAAUAAUGUUAGAUAAUGACGGUACUCGAGGAGGAAGCCACGGCUAACUACGUGCCAGCCGCCGCCGUAA